AUAAUCUCCAUCCAUAUACGCUCAUUAGCCAUCUCUCCACAUCUUCUCGUUCCCAUUCACUCAAACUCGAUUACGUAGCACCAUCAUUUAUAUAAUCCAUCCACCAGUCGAAAACCAAUGAUUUUUAUUAUUUUCUACUGUUGGUAGGCUGAUUUUUUUAUUUUUAUGUUCAAGUGCAUCUUUACAACCUUGUUUAUCCUAAUCGACAAUCAUAGAAAACUACAUGCCUUAUGAUAUUUGUAUAUUUUGUCUCUUCAAUUGUUUCCCUUUUUCAUCGAUCUAACAUUAUAGGGGUUGAUGACAAUAAUACUUACGACGUGUUUCUAAGCUUUAAUAUGGAAUCUACAGCUGAGGCAACUUCCUACAACUCUAUAGAAAUGGUUUGUUAUAAAGCACAAUUAGAGUUUACGCCAUAGCUAGUUUAUUAUAUUUGCUUCAUUUUUGAUUUUAUUGGCAUUCUUUUUAUAUGCCUUUUUCUCAGCAGGUGCUCGCCAAUAGCGUGAGCCGAAUGCGUGUUUUUUAGGGUAUAGGGCCAUUUAUCCGGAAGUAGGGACUGCAAACGGGUGACUAUAUGUUGACAUACAUGGAUAUGGUAACUUGGAGCUAUGUAUGCAUGGAUACAGUACAAACGUGUUGAGUAUAAAAACAAUGAGAACAAAUCUUGGCCAUCUAUUUUUUAAAUCAAAUGAUGGUAUCGAUUACGGAUAUGUUUGGCAAAAGUUGUAACACCCCGUGUUUACAAAAGUCAAAGUCAAAGUCAAGAUUGAAGUCAAGGGAAGAAAAUAUCGCUAAUUGCAAUCUGUCACUCCUUGCUCAAUUACUGUUUUGACUUCCUUGGCUGUAGUUAGUCUAUUUUAUGUUUUUACGAUUGGUUGUAUUAUGUGGAGUAAUUAGUUACAAUCGAAGUAGUCGAAUUAUGAUUCUCAA